rnacentral:rRNA from 1 species
CCUUCGGGAGGCAGCAGUGAGGAAUAUUGGUCAAUGGACGCAAGCCUGAACCAGCCAUGCCGCGUGCAGGAAGACGGCCCUAUGAGUUGUAAACUGCUUUUGUACGAGGGUAAACGCAGAUACGCGUAUCUGUCUGAAAGUACCGUACGAAUAAGGAUCGGCUAACUCCGUGCCAGCAGCCGCGGUAAUACGGAGGAUUCAAGCGUUAUCCGGAUUUAUUGGGUUUAAAGGGUGCGUAGGCGGUCGGGUAAGUUAGAGGUGAAAUCCCGAGGCUCAACUUCGGAAUUGCAUCUGAUACUGGUCGGCUUGAGAGUAGUUGCGGUAGGCGGAAUGUAUGGUGUAGCGGUGAAAUGCUUAGAGAUCAUGAAGAACACCGAUUGCGAAGGCAGCUUACCAAGCUGCUUCUGACGUUGAGGCACGAAAGCGUGGGUAGCAAACAGGAUUAGAUACCCGAGUAGUC